rnacentral:rRNA from 1 species
UACAGAGGUCCCGAGCGUUGUUCGGAUUCAUUGGGCGUAAAGCGCGUGUAGGCGGCCAGAUAGGUCUGCUGUGAAAACUCGAGGCUCAACCUCGAGCUGUCGGCGGAAACCAUCCGGCUAGAGUCCGGGAAGAGGAGAGUGGGAAUUCCCGGUGUAGCGGUGAAAUGCGCAGAUAAUCGGGGAAGAACACCUGUGGCGAAAGCGGCGCACUGGACCACAUCUGACGCUGAGGCGCGAAAGCGUGGGGAGCGAACAGG